GACGAACGCUGGCGGCGUGCUUAACCCAUGCAAGUCGAACGGAAAGGCCCUGCCUUUGUGGGGUGCCCGUGUGGCCAACGGGUGAGUAACCCGUGAGUAACCUGCCCUUGACUUUGGGGUAAAUUCCGGAAACCGGGGCUAAUACCGGAUAGGAGUCUCUGCUCCAUGGUGGGGGUUGGAAAGUUUGGGCGGGUGGGGAUGGACUCGCGGGUGAUCGGCUUGUUGGUGGGGUAGUGGCUUACCAAGGUUUUGACGGGUAGCCGGCCUGGGAGGGUUACCGGGCGCAAUGGGACUGAGAGACGGCCCAGACGCCAACGUGAGGCAGCGGGGGGGAGUAUUGCACAAUGGGCGGAAGCCUGAUGCAGCAACGCCGCGUUCGGGAAGACGUCCUACUGGGUGAAAACCGCUGUCGCAUGAAACGAAGCGGGAGUGACGGUAACGGAUAAAGAAGCACCGGCUAACUACGUG
rnacentral:rRNA from 1 species